AGAGUUUGAUCAUGGCUCAGAAUCAACGCUGGCGGCGUGCCUAACACAUGCAAGUCGAACGCGAAAGCCCCUUCGGGGGUAAGUAGAGUGGCGUCCGGGUGAGUAACACGUAGGUAAUCUACCUUCGGGUGGGGAAUAACGUCUCGAAAGAGACGCUAAUACCGCAUAAUGCAGCGGCACCUAAUGGUGAUUAGUUGUUAAAGCGGGGGACCCUCGGGCCUCGCGCCUGAAGAGGAGCCUGCGGCAGAUUAGCUUGUUGGUGAGGUAAUGGCUCACCAAGGCUUCGAUCUGUAGCUGGUCUGAGAGGACGGCCAGCCACACUGGCACUGACACACGGGCCAGACUCCUACGGGAGGCAGCAGUGGGGAAUUUUGGGCAAUGGGCGAAAGCCUGACCCAGCAACGCCGCGUGAGGGAGGAAAUCCUUCGGGAUGUAAACCUCACAAGCAAGGGAAGAGAGCGAGGGGGCGAAUAACUCCCUCGUCCGACGGUACCUUGCGUAAGCCACGGCUAACUACGUGCCAGCAGCCGCGGUAAUACGUAGGUGGCAAGCGUUGUUCGGAAUUAUUGGGCGUAAAGGGCGCGUAGGCGGUCGGUUAAGUCAGCUGUGAAAGCCCGGGGCUCAACCCCGGAGGGUCGGCUGAUACUGAUUGACUAGAGUACGGAAGAGGUAGCUGGAAUUUCCGGUGUAGCGGUGAAAUGCGUAGAUAUCGGGAGGAACACCUGAGGCGAAAGCGGGCUACUGGGCCGAUACUGACGCUGAUGCGCGAAAGCCAGGGGAGCGAACGGGAUUAGAUACCCCGGUAGUCCUGGCCCUAAACGAUGGACACUUGGUGUGUCGGGUUUUACAGUCCCGGCGUGCCGGAGCUAACGCGUUAAGUGUCCCGCCUGGGGAGUACGGUCGCAAGGCUGAACUCAAAGGAAUUGACGGGGACCCGCACAAGCGGUGGAGCAUGGUGGUUUAAUUCGACGCA
rnacentral:rRNA from 1 species